ensembl:snoRNA U3 Small nucleolar RNA U3
AAGACUAUACUUUCAGGGAUCAUUUCUGUAGUUGGUCACUAGAGGAGAGUGAUCUCACCUGAACGGCGUCACAAGCCACGAGGAGGAGCUGGGUGCUGUCUCCUGAGCGCGAGGCGGGCGGGCGGCGCUGCUUGUGCAGGGGCCUCCCGCCAUCGAUGACCGUUCCCGCACCGUGUGGUGCUGGGAGGGAGAGAGCACGGGCUGAGUGGU